CGUAACAAGGUCUCCGUUGGUGAACCAGCGGAGGGAUCAUUACCGAGUUUACAACUCCCAAACCCCUGUGAACAUACCUUAAUGUUGCCUCGGCGGAUCAGCCCGCGCCCCGUAAAACGGGACGGCCCGCCAGAGGACCCAAACUCUAAUGUUUCUUAUUGUAACUUCUGAGUAAAACAAACAAAUAAAUCAAAACUUUCAACAACGGAUCUCUUGGUUCUGGCAUCGAUGAAGAACGCAGCAAAAUGCGAUAAGUAAUGUGAAUUGCAGAAUUCAGUGAAUCAUCGAAUCUUUGAACGCACAUUGCGCCCGCUGGUAUUCCGGCGGGCAUGCCUGUUCGAGCGUCAUUUCAACCCUCAAGCCCCCGGGUUUGGUGUUGGGGAUCGGCUCUGCCCUUCUGGGCGGUGCCGCCCCCGAAAUACAUUGGCGGUCUCGCUGCAGCCUCCAUUGCGUAGUAGCUAACACCUCGCAACUGGAACGCGGCGCGGCCAUGCCGUAAAACCCCAACUUCUGAAUGUGACCUCGGAUCAGGUAGAAUCCUAC
rnacentral:rRNA from 1 species